CCCCUAGACGUUCUGGGCUGCACGCGCGCUACAAUAAUACGCACAGCGAGUAUCACCGAGCUCGAAAGGGCAAGGUAAACAAUAGAAAAGGUACUGUAAUGGUUAUAGAUCCUUGUAAUUAUUGAUCUUCAACGAGGAAUUCCUAGUAAGUAUGUGUCAUCAUCACGCACUGAUUACGUCCCUGCCCUUUGUACACACCGCCCGUCGCUCCUACCGAUUGGGUGAGCCGAUGAAACUCUCGGAUGUAGGCCAUUCAUAGCCCGCAGAAGAGAUUUGAAUCGUAGCGCUUAGAGGAAGGAGAAGUCGUAACA
rnacentral:rRNA from 1 species